GAUGAACGCUAGCGGCAGGCUUAAUACAUGCAAGUUGAGGGGCAGCAUGAUAUACGCGAGUAUAUUGAUGGCGACCGGCGGACGGGUGAGUAAUAGGUAGGAGACCUACCUCAUACAGGGGGAUAGCAUAGAGAAAUCUGUGGUAAUACCCCAUGAGGUUAUAUGAAUAGAGGCAUAUAAUCAAAGCAUAAGCGAUUAUGCGGUAUGAGAGGGGCCUACUGACCAUUAGCUAGUUGGUGAGGUAAGGGCUCACCAAGGCGAAGAUGGUUAGGGGUUUUGAGAGAGAGACCCCCCACAUUGGAACUGAGAGACGGUCCAGACUCCUACGGGAGGCAGCAGUAGGGAAUAUUGGGCAAUGGGCGAAAGCCUGACCCAGCCAUGCCGCGUGAAGGAAGACGGCCUUAUGGGUUGUAAACUUCUUUACUACGCGAAUAGAGGUUAGUACGAGAUACUAAUAGGAAGGUAGUGUAGUAAAAAGCACCGGCUAACUCCGUAG
rnacentral:rRNA from 1 species